rnacentral:rRNA from 1 species
AACGAACGCUGGCGGCAUGCCUAACACAUGCAAGUCGAACGAGAUCUUCGGGUCUAGUGGCGCACGGGUGCGUAACGCGUGGGAAUCUGCCCUUUGGUUCGGAAUAACAGUUGGAAACGACUGCUAAUACCGGAUGAUGACGAAAGUCCAAAGAUUUAUCGCCAGAGGAUGAGCCCGCGUAGGAUUAGCUAGUUGGUGUGGUAAAGGCGCACCAAGGCGACGAUCCUUAGCUGGGCUGAGGGGAUGAUCAGCCACACUGGGACUGAGACACGGCCCAGACUCCUACAGGAGGCAGCAGUGGGGAAUAUUGGACAAUGGGCGAAAGCCUGAUCCAGCAAUGCCGCGUGAGUGAUGAAGGCCUUAGGGUUGUAAAGCUCUUUUACCCGGGAUGAUAAUGACAGUACCGGGAGAAUAAGCUCCGGCUAACUCCGUGCCAGCCGCCGCCGUAA